rnacentral:rRNA from 1 species
UUCGCCAUUUAAAGUGGUACGCGAGCUGGGUUUAGAACGUCGUGAGACAGUUCGGUCCCUAUCUGCCGUGGACGUUUGAGAUUUGAGAGGGGCUGCUCCUAGUACGAGAGGACCGGAGUGGACGAACCUCUGGUGUUCCGGUUGUCACGCCAGUGGCAUUGCCGGGUAGCUAUGUUCGGAAGAGAUAACCGCUGAAAGCAUCUAAGCGGGAAACUUGCCUCAAGAUGAGAUCUCACUGGGAUCUUGAAUCCCCUAAAGGGCCGUCGAAGACUACGACGUUGAUAGGUCGGGUGUGUAAGCGCUGUGAGGCGUUGAGCUAACCGAUACUAAUUGCCCGUGAGGCUUGACCAUAUAACACCCAAGCAAUU